rnacentral:rRNA from 1 species
UACGAAGGGGACUAGCGUUGCUCGGAAUCACUGGGCGUAAAGGGUGCGUAGGCGGGUCUUUAAGUCCGGGGUGAAAUCCUGGAGCUCAACUCCAGAACUGCCUUUGAUACUGAAGAUCUUGAGUUCGGGAGAGGUGAGUGGAACUGCGAGUGUAGAGGUGAAAUUCGUAGAUAUUCGCAAGAACACCAGUGGCGAAGGCGGCUCACUGGCCCGAUACUGACGCUGAGGCACGAAAGCGUGGGGAGCAAACAGG